ensembl:lncRNA
CAUGAAAUAAUGAUCAUCAUUUCUUGCCCGAAAAGCUGAGGCAUCUUUCUUCUGUAGAUAGAAAGAAAUGUUUCCCGAGACAGAGAGAGGCACUGCAAAAUUGUCUGGAGUGCCCAUGGAUAUAUCUGCUGGAUUGAAGACUAGUUAUUUAAGAGGAAAAAAAACCGCGACAAAGCAGCCUUCAGCCCCAAGGCCACAGAUAGCUAUCUGAGAUACUGUGGACACAGCGAACAAGGAGGAAGUGCCAGUAGAGAUAGAAAACUGGAUUAAGUGAUGGCUGAAAAUAUGUUCAGCUCUGCUCUUUGUCCUCAACUUACUCAUUAUUGUGAUGGGUAAACAUUACUUUGCAAAAGCAUUUUCUUCUUUUGAUGUAGUCCAAAUAAAUAAUUACAAAUUGUAUUUGUAGAGUUGAUGUCUUGUUGAUUUGGGUUUUUUUUCCUAAUCUAUAAAUUCUCAACAUAAAGGGGUUUCUAGCAGAAACUGACAGUGAUGCAAAUGAACCCUAUUUCCUCUGAAAUAUGAACACCAAUGAUACUUUUACAAGAAAGGCAUCCUGAAUUUAAUAGUGAAAUGCGAAAGAACAGAAGAAAUAACGUCAACCUCUCUGUGGCAUGUGCAGCCAUCUGGAAAACAGUGUGCACUUUUAGCCAGCCUGCUGCUGACAAGAGAGUAGAGAUGGAGGUGGAAGAAGCAAAAAUAAUUACUGGUAUGGAAAAAUCUUGUAAGGAGGCGGUGUGCAAAGAGUGGAAGUACUCUCCUAAAGACAAAAUGAACAGAAAGAACCACUGAAGAAAGAUUCAAAAUGGAUCAAAUCACAGCUGAGCUUAAGGGCUGGGAAAGAGGAGAGAGGUAUGAAUGCCCUUUAUUUUCUCAUGACUACAAAUCAGACCUCACAGUUGUGUGGACAACUUUUGUUAGGUUUUUGUUCAUCUGUUUUGUUUUAUACCCUGCUACCGACAGUCACAGGAAUCCCAUUAGAGGCAAUGGAUGAGGGCAAUUGGAGGAGGAGGAUAAUUUGUACAUUGUGUAAAAUGUGUAAUGUGAACAAGAAAAGUUCCUUAUUUGAAUAAUAACACUAUUGCUGAGACUUCAUAGAAAAUAUGAAUUUUUCAAUCAAUUUUUAAUCAAGAAUCUUUCAGACUAGAGCUGUGAAUGUAAGUGACAUCAAGAAAUUUUAUCUGUGGGAGCCUUUUUCAGCACGGUCAAUGUCAUUACAAGAUGAUGAAGAAUGUUCCAACAGAUACACAAUAAGUUAUAGAUAGGAUCAGCCACAAAGUACUUUAAAUCAAAAUAAAAGUCAGUAAGUCUUAAAGACA